GUCUCUGAAGCGCAAUGGAUAGCGCGUUGGACUUCUAAUCCAAAGGUCGUGGGACCCACCUGGGAUG